rnacentral:rRNA from 1 species
UACAGAGGGUGCGAGCGUUAAUCGGAAUUACUGGGCGUAAAGGGUGUGUAGGUGGAUAGGUAAGUUAGAUGUGAAAUCCCCGGGCUUAACCUGGGAACUGCGUUUAAAACUGCUUAUCUAGAGUAAUGUAGAGGAUAGUGGAAUUUCCAGUGUAGCGGUGAAAUGCGUAGAUAUUGGAAGGAACACCAGUGGCGAAGGCGACUAUCUGGACAGAUACUGACACUGAGACACGAAAGCGUGGGGAGCAAAC